rnacentral:rRNA from 1 species
GAUGAACGCUGGCGGCAUGCCUAAUACAUGCAAGUCGAACGAGAGGAAGGAAAGCUUGCUUUUCUGAAUCUAGUGGCGAACGGGUGAGUAACACGUAGGUAACCUGCCCAUGUGCCCGGGAUAACUUCUGGAAACGGAUGCUAAAACCGGAUAGGUAGCAGACAAGCAUUUGACUGCUAUUAAAGUGGCUAAGGCCAUGCACAUGGAUGGACCUGCGGUGCAUUAGCUAGUUGGUGAGGUAACGGCCCACCAAGGCGACGAUGCAUAGCCGGCCUGAGAGGGCGGACGGCCACAUUGGGACUGAGACACGGCCCAAACUCCUACGGGGGGCAGCAGUAGGGAAUUUUCGUCAAUGGGGGGAACCCUGAACGAGCAAUGCCGCGUGAGUGAGGAAGGUCUUCGGAUCGUAAAGCUCUGUUGUAAGAGAAAAACGACAUUCAUAGGGAAUGAUGAGUGAGUGAUGGUAUCUUACCAGAAAGUCACGGCUAACUACGUGCCAGCCGCCGCGGUAA